rnacentral:lncRNA from 1 species
UUUGGAAAAGGUUUUUCAGCUAGAUUUCCUGUGCAUUUUGUUGGAUAUAAGCUCCUGUGGAGAAGACAUAAAAGGUCAAAGAAAUAUCUUAGAUCUUAAGUGAGUAAAUUUAUUUGAAAUUAAGGUAAUCUUUCCAUGUUUCGCGCACCGAUAUAGUAAUGCGCGAAUCAAAUCGAAACCUUGACAUCCCCCCCCGGGCAUACCCCCGGGAAUUUGGAUUUUGACGUUUUGGUCAGGUCAAAUUCCCUACAUAUAUUUGUAAUUCCCGUUCAAAUACACCACGUAUUGGGAAAAAUUGGAGUUCAAAUACCCCACCCCAUGUACGAAUUGGAAGCUACAGCAUUUCGCAAUUUUGGAAUUUCCAAGUUUUUCUUUCCUUCAAAAACUCUCUUCAAUCGUUCAAAGCCGUUUUCUUGUAGCCAACCAAGGACAAAGUUAAUUCCUUUGCACUUGAAGACCUUGAACUCAUCCAUUAAUCAUUGACGCCAUUUUGGAUUCUGCACACGUGUUUAAAAGAAAAAUUCAAAUUCCCGACCCCCUUCAAAUUCCCCACCUUCCACUAGAAAAAAAGGUCAAAUUCCCGCCUUCUUAAAAUACUAAACAAGCAAAUUCCCCAGGUAUGCCCGGGGGGGGGAUGUCAAGGUUUCGAUUUGAUUCGCGCAUAAACGUUAUAUGGUGUACUGAAAAGUUAACUGGAUACCUCCAUACACAUAUAUACACACCCUAACCUUAAAGGCUUAAACCUAACCCCUGAUACCUAACCCCUAACCCUAACCUAUAUUGGUAUGCGAAACAUGGAACGAUUAACCGAAAUUAAUCAUUCAUUGGGGGUAGUAUAUGGCAAGUCAAGCGCACUGCGCACACAUGAUAUGAUACGACACGAGUAUCCGGAAUCACAGGACCGCAUGUUGGGUCAUUCCAUUUAUUAUCCGCACCCCCCCCCCCCUAUGGAUGAGCGGAUUCCUACCGGUCAGAUAUUAGGACUUAGGGGAUUCCUACUGGUCAGAUAUUGGGAAUUAGCAGAUUCCUUCGGCCCGAUUCCUACCGGUCAGAUAUUGCCGUCGAGGUGUAGCAUACUAUAUUGCCAAAUAUUUAUUAUGAGAAUCAUAAUCAUUCCAUUUAUUAUCCUCACCCCCCCCCCCGGUCUGACAUUGGGAAUUAGCAGAUUCCUACCAGUGAGAUAUUGGCAAUUAGCAGAUUCCUACCAGUGAGAUAUUGGCAAUUAGCAGCAUUCCUAGGGUUUAGAUUGAUACUGUCGAUUCCAACAGGGUACUUCUCUGAAAUCCGAUUCCUACAGGUAACUUUUUUACCAGAGCUCAUCCAUAGGGGGGGUGCGGAUAAUAAAUGGAAUGACCCGUUCGAUUGGGCCAUUGCAUUUUUAAACCAAACCCUCCCUAUUGAGGACAUCCAUUUUUUGGUCCCCCCUCCCCUGGAAUUUCCACAUAUUUUAAGCGAAUUUUGAGCCUCCCCUGUGGAAUUUCUGCAGAUUUUUAUUGAAUUUUAGCCAUCCUCAUGGAAUUUCCGAAAAUUUUUUAUGAACUUUUAACCCAUCCCAUGGAAAUUCCUUGACAGUUUUUGGUCUAGCCAGUGGAAAUUCCGUAUUCAUUCUUUGAUUAGUAGCUAUCCCUUGGAAAAUUCCUUGCUGAUUUUGAUCCUAUCCUUUGGAAUUUCUUUUCUAUUGUUGACCCUCCCAUGGAAAUUCCAUACGUUUUAUUCAUUUUUCUUACCUACCCUUUGGAAUUUCCGCAGAUUUGCUUUAAAAUUUGGACCCUCCCAUGGAAAUUCCUUCAUUUUUGGUUCACUUUUGCAGGGGGUCAUUGGAAAUUCCACAUGUCCUCAAUAGGGGGGGGGGGUGCAGAUAAAAAAUGCAAUGGCCCAUUUCUUCCAGAACGCCUACAAUUGCAUUUUUUGCAACUACUCCUGGUUGGGUGUAAUAAAUGUAUAAAAAUUCCACUUGACAGUUCCAUCUAUAAAUCCCUUCAAUGAACUUUGCACACUUGAAAACCUAUAUUUGUGCCUAUAUAGACAACUAGAGUUUGUUGCAUAUUAUUGGCAGUUUUUAACAUUAACGUCAACUUUAUUAGUGCACACUUGAAAUUUCAGAUAGGAUUGCACACUCGCACUCCCAAAUUUUAGUCUUGCACACCCGAGAUCUCGUCAAAAAGUGCCAUUGCAUUCUGCAGCCCUCAGUGUAGUAGAGGGUAAUUCCAUGGUGACUCAUGUUACAUUCUGAACCAAACUAUCAGAGUAACUUUUAUCUGGUGUAAUAACUAAUAUUUGUUAUAUGGCUUUCCAAAAUUUUCUAUUCUGAUUGGUUGACGUCAAGUGGUCCGUAAAAAAAACCAUAUCCGGACUGUGGCCCGUAUUUUCCAUAUCUGGACCGGUGUCCAGGAUGUCGUUUAUCUGGCGGGAAAUUUUUGCUUUGCAAACAGAAAAAUUUUUUGCUUUUUAAAUUUCCAAUUGUGCUUUACAGAUAAAAAUUUCAAACAACCAAAUUGUUUUUGAUUGAGCAUGCAUGCCUACCGUAUAUUGUUACCCAGUGAAACUGCGACCUUGUACAAGGUUGGUGAAACUGACGAUAGCCAAUUUAAUUCGUGCGAAAACCAUAUGCUCACAGGCUCAGUUCAGCCAUAUAAUAAACCGAUUAUUGACCUCGCUUGCUCAGUCUGUACUGUGUUUUUGUUUGUAUGGACCGAGCGACGAAGGAGCGAGGUCCAUGCAAAAAACAGAGAUCUGAUAUUUGACAGUACAGACCUCACGCUCGGUCAAUAAGCUGUUAAUAAUAUUAUUUUUUUUCUGUCACAUUUUUGCAUGCAGGUACAAAUAAUGGUAAGCUAUUGAUUCACAGUAAAAAUUAAACAUUUGAUCAGAACAUGAUAAGAUUGGUGGCCGUAAAUUGGUGUGUGACUCGAUCAUACUACAGUACGACAAAGUGACAUGAGGUAACACUAACCUAACUACUUUUGAAUUUCUUCGAGAACAAAGGAAAAAGAAAUGUACAAUGUUUAUCAAGUAACAGACUAAUUCUUGACAACUUUUUUUCCAAAAAUGUCAUCACUACCAUGGAAUUACCCUAGACUCUCUGAAAUGGCAUAUAACCUUUAGCUGGAAAUAUUUAAAUUUUCCGGAAAUAAAUACUAACGUGUGUGGCAAUAAUAGCCUGAAGUAAACUGAAUGCUGAAGUACGAAUGUAAAAUAUAUACUAGAAGUUACUACAACUGUAUUUCUGCAUUGCCCUCAGCUUACACAGUUUAUAAUGCAAAAUCUAUGAACGUGUCAAGAUUGUUUACAUUUUGCAUUGCGUGCCAGCAAAUUUUGAUCUUUGAAUUUUGAUAAUCAUGAUAAUCAAUGAUAAAGACAUCAGUGCGCCUAUAAGCAUUAGAGUGUGUGGUUUGCAUAUUUGUUGGCUAGUAUAAACCCACGUUUUCAACUGAGACUAUCUGUGACACACAGUAUUAGUAGUGUACAAUAUAAUUAAUACAAACAGGGAAUCUUUUAAAAUAAAUUCAUAGUUAAUUUUACCUAAAUGAAUAAUUUGAAUGUGAACGUUUCUAUCAGUUAAAUGAAUUGCAAAUGAUAUAUAUAUGUCUAUAUUUUGAAUACGCACAAACUUAUGACCUUUAUACUAGCAUAUAUUCAAAACAAAAUUCAAUAUCUCGAUAUUUAUGGUAUAUUUUGAUCUAUUUUAUAAAAAAAUUGUAAUGUGUUCUCUUUUUAUUACAUUUUAUUUAUGGGUACAAAGCUUUUGGAAAGACGCGAUGAAUAAUGCGUCAAAACCGCAGCAGUUAUCUGAAUAAGUAUAGAAUAUAUAAGUCAUGUCAAAAUAUUUGACUGCAAUCUAUUUCCUGCUGUACAGGCUUCCUAUGUUGCAUCAUAACAGGCGCGGUUACCAACCUCCCAAAGAAAGUGAUACCCCAAAAAAUUCUGCUUUCGGGGUCGCUUCACGUUCUAUCGCAUUCCCAUUAAGCCCUGCGCUCCCAUUGUUUUUCCACUGAUCUCUAUUCCCAACUGAAGCGAUGAAGGACGAGGCAGAUCCGAAGUUAUUAUUCAUUUAAAGCUACAUUUAUAUUCCUUCACAAGUCAUGUGGCAUGCAGAUUCAUUAUUUUCUAUUUUCAUUGUCGUAGACAGUGAAUGGACCUUUCACCUUUUGACUAAAAUUUAGAUCUCACAAGUUUAGACAAAAAUUUUAUCACAGCUUGCAAGAGCAUCACAAAAUUAGUAAUAUUCCAAAGUUUCAUUGCGAAAUGUUGUAAAAUGCGGAUAAUAUAGCCUUGCCAAGUUUGCCAUUUUCAGUCAUUUUGUAUUACGCGCGGGAAAUACAUACCUCCUUCGGAAAAAGGGUAUGUAUUUCCCGUUUGUAAUUUAAAAUGACUGAAAAUUGCAAACUUCGCAAGGCUAUAUUAUCCGCAUUUUACAACAUUUCGCAACGAAACUUCGGAAUAUUACUAAUUUUGUGAUGCUCUUUCAAGCUAUGAUAAAAUUUUUGUCUAGACUUGUUGAAAUCUAAAUUUUAGUCAAAAGGUGAAAGGUCCAUUGAAGGACUGAGAUACAAGUCUCAUCCUGGAAGAACAACCGUCUACCCAUGGGGCUGACAAUCUAUGAAGAUGUCUCGUUUGUCGUUACAUGAGCUGUCUAAUCAGUUUCCUUGUGGUCUCUGUUUCUUCUUGCGGCAAAGUUUCCAAAAUGUGAGCAAUUUUUUGUCCAAUCUUCCAUAUAUGAGAGGAUUUUUCUGAAUACACUCGGUACACACCAGCAACUUUCAGAACAUUUGCCAAAUAUUUAAUCCAAACGUAUUUCAUUAUUAUAUGAUGUUCAUCAGCAAUGUUUAAAAUAAUGCGCAUAGUUAUGGAAAUACUUCCAAUUCCAUAACAUAGAACGGUAAUGAGUCAAACCAUAAAACUUCGUCGAUUUCGGAUAAAUUUCAGGAUAUUUAUUGAAGGAAGGGCCAGGCGCACUUCGUCUCCCUGGAUUUGAACAUACGCUUUUCAUGUAUCUGUUUUGUUUGAUCAGUUCUCGACCUAUUUUAUAAUAAACCACAACCAUAAAUAAUGUUGGGAAAAAGUAAAAGCAUGAUAUGACGUAACCAUUACGAACUUUAUCAUAAACAAUUGCGACAUCGUUCCACUGCAUGAAACAUAACGGCACAUAUGUUCCAUAACCUGCAAUGAAACCAACAAUGUACACCAAAGCAACGACUUUCAAUUUUCAUCGACUGACGUGUUAGGUUUUAAAGGAUGCACAGUAGCACGAUAACGAUCGAAGCAGUGAAAUGAUCAACAUCGUACCUAAACUUGCGUCUUGAAAAAAAAGUUAUGCAACGGAAAGCACAGUACUUCGUGGAAUAAGUAAAGAACUAUUCUUCGACCAAAUUCCAGUUGACAUGAAUGAUAAGAUAAACGAUCAGUACCCCCAGAUCACAUAUUGCAAGAUGUAAAACAACAAAGUACAGUAGUAGUUAUUCUUCAACACUUUCUUUUGUGUUGGAAAUGACAACCAAAAUAUUACCAAGAAUCCCAAAAUAUAGUGUUUAGAGUAUCUGUAGACAUCAUAUGCUGUCUUCUCCAUUGUUUCCUGCAAGUAUAAAUUUGCGUUGUGACUUUCGUUGCUAGAAGGAAAAUUCAAGAUCAAACUGGUAGCUUGUUGUGUAGUUCCUUCGAAAAGCAGGCAAAUGCAAUUAGUUAUGGCACGAUAUACAAAACAAUACCAGAUCUAUUCCACGAAUCUCUGGGCUGUAGACAUCAUAUGCUGUCUUCCCCAUUUUAGUUUCGUUCAAGAAAUUUGACUUACUGAAAAUACAAUACAUGGUUUCCAUGGUGUAUAAACGCCACUUAAAGUUUAGCAAAUAGUAGCAAAUAUGUCAAAAGUCUUAGCAUUUCAUUUAAGUUACUUUUUAUAUCUGUUUUAAACUUGCAUAAAAUUUUGCAGUAUUCUUCUGAUUGGUGAACAAUCUAAAAAUGUUUUGCAAUGAACCAAAAUUAAUUUGCCUUUGUGAAUAACACUCUCAAUCAAGGCGUGACAGGCGUCGACCUGUAUUCUAGAAUUUUAUUGAGUAUCAACAAUGUAUAUGCUUUAAAGUAAACAGGUGUAUAGCGCGAUCCUAACAGUUAAAAGCUUUGCAUCAUCCUAUAAUUAACUGUAAUUCUACAUUAAACUAUUCAAGGAUUAUCUAAAAACGAAUAAUUCACGUUCUCAUGGGAAAGAUAUUGGGCAUAGCGAAAUAGUUUCAAGAAAACCCUGACACAAAAAAGAAGAGCUUAUAGGAACGAGUUUGGCACAUGUCACCCCUGUAGAGCUGCACGCAGAAGAGGCUACAGAAUUUUCAUUAUUUGUGAGCCACGACCCUUCCACUUUUAUAUAAAGUUGUUAAACAAUGCUCUUGACUUUACUGGAUAUGAUCGCAUUAUGCAUAUCUCUAACUUGGAAAAAGCUAGCUUAUGUCUUUAUAUGACCGACGACAUCAAGCAUGUAUGUAUAACAGAGUAGUUCAACUCUAGACCGCUAGGGCUGUAAUGUUUGUUCUUAUAAAAUUAUCUAAUGUCUAUAUAUCUACCUUAUAUAAUUAUCCAUAUAUCUAGUCAUGCAUCUGAAUAAUUUGUAAGCUGCAAACUGGGCAAGUGUAUCACGUUUAUUGUAAACUUAACUUUUAUUGCAUAUUACCAAAUGAACUGCACAUUCAAAAUUAAAUAUCCGAAUGACACGGUAUCCAUGGCAUACUUAAUUAAAAGCGUGCACUGCAAAUUGCGAUAUUAUUUAGCUUUGAGAUGCCUGGUGCAUAUAUUACUGUUUUAGGUUAUCUAGAAACUUCAUUAAUAUCCAAUAUAGACGAUAUGUAAUUUUAAAGCAACAAUGUUUAUAUUAUGAAUUUAUUUAUUUGUUUAGCCUUGCCAACUAGGGCAGGGUCACCACAACAGCAUACAUGCCAAAUACUGUGGGCCCUUUUACCUAACCCAUACAUGUGGGAGGAAACCGGAAUACCCGCGGAGAAGACUCACGACUUUCGCAGAGCGUGGACUUUUACUUUUUCCACAUGAGGACUGGGUUUGAGUUGCAUUGAGAAAGUUCUCACUGAGGCUUGAACCUGCGACCUUGGAGGUGAAAGGCAUGCAAGUGCGCUAACCACUUCGUUACCGUAACCUCGAGCAGGAACUUAAUAUUGAUGGAAUAUUACUUGAAAUUUGCAGUACAUGCGUUUGUUGUCCAGGACAAAGUAUAAAUAAUUGGUUUUUGAGUGAUACUGUGCGCCAACGAUCAUCGUCAAAUUUCAGUAUGUGAGGUAUUUUGCUAAAAUUGCUUGUUUUUCACCUUAAUUUUCUCAUAUAUACAGGUUGUGCCAAUGCAAUGUGAUUAGGUCAGAACAUGUGCUUUUCUUUCUAGUUUUUGCUAAUAGAAUGUAAACUCGCCUAAAAAAUGAAGAAAGUACUGAAUUUUGGCAAAUUUCAUGUGCAAGUGUGAUUUAUACGAAAAAGGCGACUCAGAAAAUGGGCAUCGGAAUAAUCAUUUUGCCGUGUAUUGUGCUACAAUAGUUUUAAAAUAUUAUUUUUAGGUUUUCAAAGUAUUUAAAAAACAGAUACGCAUAGCAAUCAAAUUUUUCUAUGACCCUCAUUUCGAAGCGUAAACUUUGUAUUAUUUUUAAACACAAUUUUCGCUCGUUCAAAAUUCUAUAAACACAAAUUUUGUCAUGUUACAGGUUGUGCCAACGAAUUAUCGCUGUUUUACAUUAAAUUUCAAAGCAUUUUUUAGUCGGUAUUAAAUUUCUUGGCUUUGUAAAAAAUGAAGAAGUAUUAGUAUUUUUGGUUUGAAUAUCACAUUUUAUUCAAUUGUAAAAUAUGUGGCAAUAGAGGAAAUCAAAGUAUUACUGCAACAUUUUUUUGUCAGUGAAUCCAAUUUUUGUGGUGAUUUGUGGGCCUAAACAGACGCUGCAAAAUUGUCUUUCGAAGGCUUCGUUCAUGUUGUUUAUGUUUUUUAAAUCAACCAAGUGGAAGCACGCAUAUCUUCUUCCCCCGCUAAAACCCGAGCAGUUUUCGCGCAUGCUCAGUCAAUUUUUCCACCUGUUCCAAUAAGAACCCUGUACAUAACGACUUUGUUUCCAUGGUGUAUAAUGGCAUUUUCAUAUAGCAGCAAACGUUUCUUCAAAAAGAAAAUUUUCAGACGGUUUCACAAGCAAAAGAAGCAAUUAGGACUUUAUUUUUUAUAUCUGUUUUGAACCUAUGGCAACCAGGGUAAACUUACAUGGACUUUUGUAUAAAUUCUUCUGAUUAGUGAAUAAUCUACAAAUUCUUAUGUCAUCCCAACGAAAUUAAUUCAGUUUUGUGAAUAACUCUCUCAAUCAUGAAAUAGCAGAAUUAAGGCGUAUUCUAUGGAGUAUAUAUGUUUAUGCUGCAAACUAAACAGGUGUAUCACGAUCGUUGAACAUAUUCUCUUGUGAUAUUAUCAGAUGACCUAUAAUCAUCAAAAACUUUGUACCUCAUUAUUAACUGUAAUGAAUCAUCGAGGGAUUUUCAUUUAUGUUUGGGAAAAAAUAUUGGGCAUAACGAAAUGGUUUAGAAUAAAACCCUGACACAGGUCGCCUCUAUACAUUUGCACUGGGAGGAUGAGGCGCCACAAUGUUGCGUCAUUUGUGAGCAAUACUCUCGAACUUGACAGGCUGUUAACCCAUGCUCUUGAAUUUGCUGGAAAUAUGAAUAAUUUGUAAGCCGUGAAGCAGGUGUGUCACGUUCAAUGAAGACUUAACUUAGUGCCCAGCCUGUUUAUAUGAUCCCGCCUAAAUUCCCACACAAGUUAUGCGGCAGAUUCAUUAUAUAUUUUCCAUUUUUUGACUGUGGUACAUGCAGGUGAGGCUGACAAUCUAUGAAAAUAUUUCCGGUUUGUCCAGCUUGCAACAAGAACUGUCUAAUCAGUUUCCUUCUGGUCUCUGUUUCUUCUUGCGGCAAAGUUUCCAAAACGUGAACUUUUUGUCCAAUAUUCCAUAUAUGAGAGGAUUUACCGAAUGCGAACCAACAACUAACACAAUAUAUCCCACAUACUCAAUCCAAAGUGAUUUCAUUAGAAAAUAAUUUUCUCCAGCGAUGUACAAAAUAUAAUACACAGAGAUAGGAAUAUUUCCAAUUCCACAACAUAGGACGGCAAUGAGACAGACAAGGAAAAUUCGUCGAUUUCGGAUAAAUUUCUGGAUAUUGGAGGAAGAGCCAGGGGCACUUUGCCUCACUGGAUUUGGGCAUAUACUUUUCAUGUAUUUGUUUUGUUUGGCGAGUGCUUGACCUAUUUUAUAAUAAACCACAGCCAUAAAUACUGUUGGGGAAAAGUAAAAGCAGAAUACAAAGUAACUGGAAUAAAAUUUGUGAUAAAUAAUUGCGACAUCAUUCCAUGGCGACUGCAUGAAACAUAACGGCAGAAACACUCCAUAACCUGCGACCAAACCAACAAGGUACACCAAACCACAAAUGACUUUCAAUUUCCGUCGACUGAUGGCAGGUUUUAAGGGAUGUACAGUAGCACGAUAACGAAACACUGAAAUGAUCAACAUCAUACCUAUUCCUGCGACUCGAAAAACGAGAUAUAUGUGAAAGAAAACACAAUACUUGGUGGAAGUAAUAACAAGAUGUUCUCCGAAAAAAUACCGGUUGACAUGAUCGACAAGGAAAAGGAUCAGUGCACCCAGAUCACAUAUUGCAAGUUGUAAUACAAGAUAGUAGUAGUUAUUCUUCAAAACAGCCUUUCGUCCUAGUAUGGAAAUGAUCACCAAAAUAUUACCGAGAAUCCCAAAUACAAUUACUACAGCAAAAGAAUAUCUGUCGACAUCAUAUGCUGUCUUACCCAUUCUUUCGUUCAAGUAAUUUGAGUUGUGACUUUCGUUGCUGGAAGGCAAAUUCAAGAUCAAAUUGUUAGCUUGUCUAUGCAAUUCUUCGAAAAACAGAACAAAUAACAAAUACAGCUGUAAGUUAGCUUAGGUGCGGCAUAUAUAAGGCAUUAACAGACGUAUUCCGCCAAUAAGAACCCUGUACAUAACGACAUUGUCUGUGCAAUUCCUUUAAUUAAAAAACAGAACAAAUGGCAAUUGGCGAUAUACACCAGAUGUAUUCCACCAGUAAGAAUCCUACACAUAACACAUGGUUUUCAUGGUGUAUAAACGCCACUUAAAAAUUAGCAAAUAACAGCAAAAUAGUUCAAAAGAAGAAUUUCAGAGCGUUUAGCAUGCAUGAAAGCAAAACGACUUAGCAUUUAAAAUUUAACUUAUUUUUUAUAUCUGUUUUAAACUUGCAUAAACUUUUGUAUCAUUAUUUCUGGUUGGUGAACAAUCUAAAAAUGUUAUUGCAAUGAACCGAAAUUAAUUUGCCUUUGUGAAUAAUACUCUCAAUCAAGGAGUGACAACUAGACGUUGGCCUGUAUUCUAGAAUUUUAUUGAAUAUUAACAACGUGUAUGCUUUGAAGUAAACAGGUGUAUAGCGCGAUCCUAACAGUUAAAGGACAUUGGCACCCAACAUUUUUAUUACUUAUAUCUCUUAGGUAUACUUGCGGAAUAUUUAAUUUCAUAUUUUGGCCGGUUUGUCGCGUUUAGUUGUUGAGAAAAUUUGAUAAAAAGUUCAACAGUUGUCCGCCAUUUUGAAAUUAAACGUGUAUGCUAAUUUAUGCCUCAAAAUACAUUAUCUGACGUCAUUGGCUGGGUAAAAACUGAAAAAACAAUUUCAUUACUAUAAACAAUACCGAGUAUUGCCACGCGUAGUGCAUUUGAACCGAAACAAAAGGCAGCAAAGUUUUACCAUAUAUUAACUAUGGUUUUACCAAGUAUGUAAUUUGUUUGUAACACUUUCUCAUAGCAUAUAUCCUACUCCGUGUUAAAUAAACGCAGAAAUUCGAGUGCAACAAGACAAAUACUAAUGCAAUAUUUUAUGAUCAAUUACCUGUUAACCUGUAUUGUAAAUUGCGCCAUUCCUUGCUUUCCCAGUCGCUCGAUAUGUUUUUAUCUGAUAGUGUAGACUUAUCUUGUUUGAUUGCGAAGAGUGUUGGCCAGUAUAACGCUCAAAACGACAUAUUUUUAGCUAACAUAACACGCACGCAAUAGAAUUCUCUCUUGUAGUUUUGGUGCUACCCAUCCAAUGACGUCACAAAGUUCAUUGACCUUCGAGAUAAUUUGUCAAAAAAUAUUUCCAAGAUGGCGUCGAAACACAAAGUUUGCAUGCAUUUUACUCGUAGACUAAAAUGUUUGAGAACGAAAUGAUAAUAUUUUCAUAGUUAGGUCGUCAAGUGGGAUUGAAAUAGCCAAUAAAAAUUUUCGGUGCCAUUGUCCUUUAAAAACGUAGAUUUGCAUCAUCCUAUUAACUUUAAUUCGAUAUCAAACUAUUGAAGGCUUAUCUAAAAACGAAUAAUUCACGUAGCGAAUUAGUUUAAAGAAAACCCCGACACAAAAAGGAAGAGCUUGGGAACGAGUUUGGCCACAUGUCACCCCUAUAGAGCCGCAUACAAAAGAGGCUACAUAAUUACUCGCUGGGGCACUGUGCCCAGGCGAGUAUAGGUUUCGGCACGCAUCAGAGGGCACGCAUGGUGGAUGUCAGAUGUCGGAUUUCCGAUCGUCGUUGAUAGCCACAAAAUAGAAUAUUAAUGAGCUGCCUAAUAAAACCCAAUUUAUCCUUUUCAAAAUGGCGGCCUUUCCGUGGAGUGGGCAAAAUGUUUCAGACAAUUUCGUUAAAAUUUUCAACGAAAUGUAUCUGUUUUCUAUGGAUUUUGUAUUGUGUCUAACUCUGGGCAUUUUUGCUAGUUUAGCUAAUGCAUUUUUCUUGGUCCACGACUCUGAAAAUCCGAAAUUUGGAUCUUUGAAUUCCCGUGCAUGAUCUUAUACUGAAUCUGAAUAUAAACGAGCCAAAGACAAUUUCAAGGUAAAAGGUUAUAACUUAAACUACACAACGUAGUUUUAAUAGAUAACUACUUUAUGAGAAGCAUAUUGGUAAUCAAUAUAAAAUUUAUGCAACAACAGUCCCUAAUAGUAAUAGUCAGCUGUGAAAACGUGAAAACUGUACUGUGAAAUAUGAUAUUGUAAUGCCGAUAAGGAUAAAACUAGAAGUUACUAUCGCAAGGGAAGUGCUGCCUCACCCCAAGGGAACAAAGGCAGCAUGCACAAUUUGCUGAAUAAGGGGCUGUUUAUAUGACCCCGCUUUGCCAGGACGAGAUAUGAGGCGGGAUGAUUGUCAUGUUUUAUAAAUUGUUUAUAUGCUGCGAAGCUGCAGAUCGAAAUAUUUUCAAAACCCCAUUCGUGGUACGUCGUUCGCAGAUCACUAAACAAAGUAUUCGGCAUUGGUAUUCGGCAGUCGUCGAUUUGCUAUCGUAAACUCCUGGAGUAUGAUAAUGCUCCAAUGUAAAUUCCUUACUGCAACGUCAUAAUUUGACGUCACAACUGCCGACAAACACUUGAACGACACAAAAUCGAGAUACGCUUCAAGUAUAUAAAACUGUUGGCGGGAAAUUCAAAUGCGCUAUAACACGUGUCAGGAAUAGUGAGCUGCUUCGCGUACCAUCGUUCGAUUCAGCGUAAGAAAUUGUAUUUAUGGAUGUCAAAUGUAUUACAAAACAACAGUAUUCUAGCGAUUUAUGGCCUUUGAAAAUCAAGCGAAAUUGUAUUUUUGACAAAUCGCUCGCAGUACGUAUUGCUGACAGACAAAUCACUCGCAGUACGUUUGUUCUUGUAUUUGUAACAUUGAACUAUAAGUAAACCAUAUAGUUUACUUAUAGUUCAAUGAUUUGUAAUGCCUAAUGGCGCAAUAAGGAUAAAAAUACCACCGUUCGAUUCAGCGUAAGAAAUUGUACUUACGGAUGUCAAAUGUGUUACUAAACAAGAGCAUUCUAGCGAUUUACGGCCUUUGAAAAUCAAGCGAAAUUGUAUUGUUGUAAAUGACAUGGAGUUAUAUCAACACGGCUCUUAGCCAAUUAGCGUUCAGAAUUUACAAAUGCUAUUUUAUAAAUGUAUAUAAUAUAUAGUACUUUAGUAUAUUGUAGCCAAAUCAUUGUAAAAAAUUCAAAUGUAUCUACAACAUUAGUAUUCAAUUAUAUAAUACGAAAAUUCCCCCUUCUUUUUCUCUUUUGUACAUAAUGUAUAUAUACGUCAAAACUUUCUGAUUUUACAUAUUGUAUUAAUUAAUAUUGACUGUAAAUAAUUGAUUUAAUAUGCGAUCUAGAGGCUUAUAAAAAAAUUAUUGUAACAUAUUUUAAAUAAAAAAAAUAUUUAUUGGUACAUUUGCGUAACCGUCAUUUUUCUAGACUGCACGCCCCGCCAAAAAUUGUGGAUGAGCUAAAAUUUACGCCAAAAUACGCUGCCAAAAGUCAGUAGAAAAUUUUUCCCCGCCAAAGAUCUUUGGCGAGAGGGGCCUGGAAUGCAGUCGGGCCAAUGAUGAAUGGCUGUGUCAUAUAAAAAAAGGAGAAAUAUAUUUCAACUUUGCAUGCAAUGAUAGUAACACUAUGCAACUAUUAGUAUUUAUUAUAGUGUACCAGUUCCCAAACCAAGCACAAUUUAAGAGCAUAUGCAUUCAGUAUCAUGAAAAUUUUUUGGGGGGGAGUAGGGGCUGAAGCCUCCAGCUCCCAGCUUCCGCUGUCCCUAAGCCUAAGGGGUCAAGUGUCAAAAUCGGACUUCUUAAAGAAAGGGUCAAAUAUACAGUAUGUUUAUGCCAAAGGAAUGUCUUUUUUUCUGAAAUGUAGACUUGAAAACAUUGAAUAAAAAAAGUCAAAAAUAAUAUUAAAAAGCUCUGAGGCAUGUUUCAAACGUCGCGCUUCUCAUGUGCCGAACGCAUUAGAAACAAUAGAUAACGAGGAAUUUCAUCUGAUUAUCUAUUGUUUUUAACGCGUUCGGCACAUGAGAAGCGCGACGUUUGAAACAGGCCUGAAUCUCACAAAUACCUCAUUCAAAAUAAAUCCUUCAAUAAACUUGACCUGUUCACAACAUUCUUUUCAACAGUCCCAUAGACGUCUCCCAGUUCUUAUACCUGUGCGCUAACAGUGUACUUUGAAAACAAUGCAGAAUUUGAAGUUGUGAAAAUUUUCUCGAAAUUAUCCGGUAUUAAGGUCCAAUGUCCUUGGUAUGGAGGCACGGGCUUUUGUAAAAGACCUUUACAUAUAUUAAGGUACAGUAUUGACGUCUUUUUGGCAGAAACAUCUACAAUAUUUUUACCGUUCCCAUAGGGGUCUCUACUAUAAGGAUCUUUUUUACGACAGGAAUUCUUCACGGAUCUAGUUGGAGCCUCGUCAUUAUAGUUGGCUGAUAGGGUCCCUUUAUAUUUUAACAAAUGUUAGAUAGCAUCGAUUGAAGUAUACAAUCCGUGAUAUUAAGUGGAAGCUGUAUUGAAUUGUUUUAUUUUUCUAGUACAAUUUUAAAUCAUGAAUUGGACUAAGAGACUAUCGCCGGUGUCCCAGUUGACUUCCAUUUGGACACCCCUUCAAAAGUUAAAUAUAUGUAAUUUGAACACAAUAAUAUAACCAUUUUUGUCCUCAUAUGUUGACGAACCUCUGAGGCCUUACAUCCAGGCUUUUACUCCUUUUAGCCAGAAGGGCAUUCAGGCGUUCUGGGACGCCCCUAGAACAAAAAAUGGACGCCUCUGGACGCUCAAAUUCUGGGGAAAAAAGGGAAUUAUAUUCAAUUAUUUCCCUAUUAAUAUAUCUGAAACGAAAUAGCUUCAAUUCUCAUUAUUAUUAUACAUUUGACAUAUUGAUCAAUUUGAUGGUGUACCUGGCUGAAUGAAAAUUAUGUCGUAGUUAAGUAAAGAAGCAUAGCGGACAAACUCGCAAAGCCGAGUGUGUUUAAAAAAUUUCGAACGAGCUUGGAACAGAUACUGACAUGAAGUAACGUAAACUUCAAAGGUUUUCCAGAACAACGUUUUCUCAACCCUCCCCCCCCCCUAUUUACUGUAGAUGUAUCCUUGUACCAAAAUUGGACGCCCUCUUUUAGGACUCUGGCUAAAAGCCUGCUUACAUCUUUACUUUGUUGAUACAUAAGCUGUAAAAAGACAAAUUUAUUUAAUGUAUACAUUCCAAUGUGUCUUGUUAACCCAUUAAAUGUGCCCAAAUGCACCCAAUUUAUUAUUUUACUCUGUCUAAAGGUAGGCAACUUUACUCUGUCAAAUGCCAAAUCGCUAUGUUUUACUUUUACUCUGUCUAAUGCCAGACAAUUUUAUUUGUUAAGUGGAGAGUCUAGCAGACUAACACAUUAAUGGAAUAAACAUAAUAAAAUAACAAAGUACUAAAAGUAGGGCACAUUGGUUCUAAAUAUGCCAACACAGAAGCUUUUGUAGUUAAUUAUUAACCUUUCAAUGACCAACACUCAUCCUGAUGAGUAAAAUCAUCUGAUAAUUAAAUAUCAAAGUACUGAAACUUGUGAGGAUCGAGUGUUUGGGUGAAUUGUAUCUAAAUGUGUUAACACCAAACAAUGCAGAAUAGUCUGAUGUUAGACAGGGCAAAAUAUUCAGCUUUGAAAUAGAGCACAUUCGUGUGAAUGAGGUCUUAAUGAGUUUACACAUAACACAGGGAGACAGUAAGAUAACCUAGCUAUCAAAGUUGUCCACUCCCUUUCACAAGUAAAAUGUUCUGGUGUUAGACAAGGUAAAAUAAAAAAGUUGAGCACGUUUAUCUUAACGAGUUAGCAUGAAAUGCAAGUAGAGAAUCUGGUUAACUUGAAUACCAUCACAUAGUUAUUUCAUAUAAAAACAUGGAGAAUUUUCCUGGCAUUACACUAAGGCUAACAGAUUUUAAUACAUUGACUGGUGCAACACCUCUCACAAAGAAAUAUCAAUUUUAAUUUGAACAAUAACAUAGGAAUAAAUAUCAAAACCUUAGGAAGGUUGCCGCUGAUUUGAGCAAGUAGUUAAUUAAAUUUUCAAAUUAUGAGCUGAGCAUAGUAUAUAUACAUGUAUAGGCAUGCAUUAAUGGCUGCCAAUUAAUCUGGCAUAUACAGUUGGCAUAUACAAAUAUAUUAUUAUAAACUAUCAACAUGGAUAAGUCUAAUUCAAAUGUAAAACUUUUAUAGUAGCAUUUGUUGNNNNNNNNNNNNNNNNNNNNCAGCAUUUUAUCACCCGGUAAAAUGUUGCUUACGAGUCCUUCAAAACAUUUCGUACAAAUCUCGCGUGGUUUAGCAACAGGGACGUGACAGGGGGGGUUGAGACUUGAAAAAUGAAAGCAAAGCCCCACACAGUAUCGUAAAACCAUUAAACCAACAAUCAGCAUUUAAUUUGUAUUAUUAAUAAUUAGUAUAAUUACAUAAGUGAUUAUUGAAAAUUCUCCACGCUGAUUGGUUGCCGUUGAGGUGAUUAUUACGCGAUAAUCACCUAAGCGAUUUUCAAAAUGGCGGCCGAAGCCUUUUUGUCAAUUAAAUGACGAAGAAAUGUGUAUUUUUUUAUUUUUUUUCAAAUAAUCACCUAUGUAAUUAUACUAAAACAAUUAUUCACCUCAGGCUCGGUGAUUAUCGUGAAUAAAAACCUCGACUUCGUCUCGGUUUUUAUUCACCGAUAAUCACCUCGCCUUCGGCGAAUAAUUGUUAAUUAUUCGCCGAAGGCGAGGUGAUUAUCGGGAAAUAUUCGCCGAGACGAAGUCGAGAUGAAUAUUCCCCGAUAAUCACCGAGCCUGAGGCGAAUAAUUGUUUUAGUAUUUUUACACAAGCUUUUGUGUUUUUUGAGNNNNNNNNNNNNNNNNNNNNCAAAUAAUCACCUAUGUAAUUAUACUAAAACAAUUAUUCACCUCAGGCUCGGUGAUUAUCGUGAAUAAAAACCUCGACUUCGUCUCGGUUUUUAUUCACCGAUAAUCACCUCGCCUUCGGCGAAUAAUUGUUAAAUAAUAAUAUGUAUAUAUUUGUCGCUACAAGAAAUAAAACAAACGUUUGUAUGAUUGUCUUUAGUUUUUAGUCUAUUUCACGCAGCCUUCUUCUAUCUUCGUGAAAUAAUUCACCCCCCCCCCCCCUGUCCCNNNNNNNNNNNNNNNNNNNNUAUUUUUUUAUUUUUUCCAUAUAAUCACCUAUAAAAUUAUACUAAAACAAUUAUUCACCUCAGGCUCGGUGAUUAUCGUGAAUAAAAACCUCGACUUCGUCUCGGUUUUUAUUCACCGAUAAUCACCUCGCCUUCGGCGAAUAAUUGUUAAACAAUGCAGAAUAGUCUGAUGGUAGACAGGGCAAAAUAUUCAGUUUUGAAAUACAGCACAUUAGUGUGAAUGAGGUCUUAAUGAGUUAACACAUAACAUAGGGAGACAGUAAGAUAACCUGGCUAUCAAAGUUGUCCCCUCCCUUUCACAAGUAAAAUAAUCUGCUGUUAGACAAGGUAAAAUAAAAAAGUUGAGCACAUUCAUCUUAACGAGUUAGCAUGAAAUGUAAGUUGAGAAUCUGGUUAACUUGAAUACCAUCACAUAGUUAUUUCAUAGAAAAACAUGGAGAAUUUUCCUGACAUUACACUAAGGCUAACAGAUUUUAAUACAUUGACUGAUUCAACACAUCUCAUUCUCACAAUGAAAUAUCAAUUUUAAUUUGAACAAUAACAUAUGAAUAAAUAUCAGAACCUUAGGAAGGUUGCUGCUGAUUUGAUAAGCUGAGCAUAGUAUAUAUGCAUGUAUAGGCAUGCGUUAAUGGCUGCCAAUUAACAGUUCACAGUUGGCAUAUACAAAUAUAUUAUUAUAAACAAUCAACAUGGAUAAGUCUAAUUCAAAUGUAAAACUUUUAUAGUAGCAUUUGUUGAAGUAUACUAUAGAUGAUAUAAAUAUAUUUAUAUCAGCUUUAUAAUUUCAUUAUUGUCGCAGCAAAUUCAAAUUUUAAACCGAAUUUCAAGAAUGAAAAUUCGAGGUAUUUCCUUUAUAAUUUGCUUUAUUAUGAACAAAAUACAAACAUAUUCUCACCUGACCAUUAUGCAAACAUCUCUGAUGAAUUACUAGUGAAAAUCCAGUUCAAUCUCAUCAAAAAUAGUUAUAUUUUGAACAUGAACCAUUCACAAACUCAAAAAUAAAAAUUUGAAAAAAUAUUGGUGGUGUGAUCAUAGAAUAUACAAUAGACCAGAAGCCUCACUGUACACCUUUCCUUAACAUUUUCGUGUCCGCGAUUUUCGCCUUGCGGAUCACGAAUUGCGCACGCUAGAUGACGUGUGUGACACUUGCUGCGAACAUCACGUCAGCGUUCGUCAGCGUCAAUUCCUCAAAUCAACGGUUUUUCUUGAAAUUCGAAAAACAUGCUCAAAGUGUACGUUGCAUAUUCUGCAAUUAUUGUGCAAAUAUUUUACGCUUUUGUUUUUUACGUUGUGUCUUCCUGUUGCGAUGACCCAUUAUUUGGACCUGUGGCAUUUAAAAAUGGUUAAAACAGCAAUCUUUAUCACCUAGUGAUGGCAAUUGAUGGCGUUGCUCGCGUACCAGGGUGGAAAGUUUGUAGGUUGCGCCGAAGAUCUUCGGCGUGGAAAAUUCAUAAAUUUGCUCCUUUUUGGCGCAGAAUUAUGGGAAAAUGAACUGGUGUGGCGCACUGGCGUACAAACAUUUAUUUAUUUGUGCACACUACAACAUUCUCAACCAUUUCUGUUUGUAUUUCAGCCAUGUAAUAACUGGAAUUUGAUUAAGCACUGACUGACCGUAUUUCAAAAGUUUAGUAUCUGUUCUGUCUCGGCUCUAAAAGUGUUGACAUUGCAACUCGGCGGCGCAUGUGAAUAUGUUUAAAACAGGAUUUGUGCAGCACUGCAGCCACUGGCACAUGUUACUGAACCUUGAUCAAAUCUUCGGCGCACAAAAAACAAACUUUCCACCCUGGCUCGCGUAUGAUGGCUUCGUGAUUACACUUGCUGGCUCGCGCUUGCGCAUAAAAAAUCUCGGACACAAUUUUGGCUGAGUGAGCUUCUGGUCUAUUUUCUAUUCUGUGAUGUGAUGAUCUAUCCCGAGAUGCUUUGCGCGCGUGGCAAGAAAACUAGACACCAGUCUGUCGGUCGCGCACAUUGCGGUAAUUAUUCAUUUAAUUUAGUAAUCUUAAUUAGAAAAUAAAUAGCCCCAGUAUUAAAUGCUGUUAUUAAAAUGUUUAUGAAUAAAAGGCGAUAUAGGAAUAGUGCAAUUGUAGCCUGUACUACUAUCGCCUGAUACAUGCAUGGGUAUAAGAACUUUACUUUAUAAAAAUACAGAGAAAAUAUAAUUUAUGAAAUAACUCAUUCUUCCUAUAGGAAUUUCUAUUUCUUACAGGAUUUCUAAUCCCACCAUUUUCCAAUCCUAUAAGAAUUUCAAUAGGAAUUUAUAUUUCUUGUAGGAAUUUGUUACACCAUUUUCCAAUCCUAUAGGAAUUCCUAUAGGAAUUUUUAUUUCCUAUAGGAAUUUUUUCACCAUUUUUAAAUCUUAUAUGAAUUCCUAUAGGAAUUUUCAAUUCCUAUAGGAAUUCCUACAGCCAUUUUCCAAUCCUAUAGGAUUUCGUAUAGGAAUUUUUAUUUCCUAUAGGAAUUUUUUCACCAUUUUCAAUUCCUAUAGGAAUUCCUAUAAGAAUUUUCAAUGCCUAUAGGAAUUGGUAUAGGAAUUUGUUACACAAUUUUCGAUUCUUAUAGGAAUUCCUAUAAGAAUUUUCAAUUCGUAUUAGAAUCCUAUAGGAAAUUUUUGUAAGGGAUGCUUGGUUUUGUAUUUACGUUAUUAAAGGCAAAGCAAUGAUUUAAAUUUACCUAAAUAUAGACUAACGACCGGACAAAGAAUGUUCUCCUGCACUACAGAGGGGCAAAAUUGUAUAAUGAUCUCCCUCGCGAUAUUAAGAAAAUAGGGAACAUAAAGAUUUUGGAGAUAAGACUACGAAGUGACCUUAUUACAAGUAAUCUUAUUACAAGUAAUCUAUUAGCUUAACCUAUUUUAGCCAUUAAAUUAACUAUAUGAUUGUAUAGUAUUUAUUUGUUUGUAGCGGAAGAGCCCUUUUUCGGGAGCUAUAAUACAGUACCUGUGUCUAUUAAAGCACAUAUGGCUAUUUUUCCGAGGGAAAGAGCCUGGGAAUAAGGUUGAUGUUCCCCACACGUACAUGUACUAACUUCCAGGCCUUGAAUUUCGUUUUUAUAUUUUUCAGGUAGUAUAGAUCGCUAAACCAAGCUCACAAACUGGAUUAAACCAUGCUCACAAACUGGAUUAAACCAUGUCUGGUCAUCGUGGAAAGACAUCAGACAGCUUAGUAAAAAACAAAAGAACACACUCAGGAAACAAACCUUUUGAAUGUGAUGUUUGUAAGAAGAGAUAUACACGCUCAGCCAGUUUGGUCAUCCAUACAAGAACGCAUACUGGAGACAAACCUUAUCAAUGUGAUGUUUGUAAGAAGAGAUUCGCACACUCAGGCAGCUUGGUCAACCAUAGAAGAAUGCACACUGGAGACAAACCUUAUGAAUGCGAUGUUUGUGAGAAGAGAUUUACACAAUCAGUAGACUUGGUGAGACAUAGAAGAAUGCACACUGGAGACAAACCUUAUGAAUGUGAUGUUUGUAAGAAGAGAUUUACACACUCAGGCAGAUUGGUCGUCCACAGAAGAACGCACACUGGAGACAAACAUUAUGAAUGCGAUGUUUGUGAGAAGAAAUAUACACACUCAAACAGCUUGGUCAUCCACAGAAGAACGCACACUGGAGACAAACCUUAUGAAUGUGAUGUUUGUGGGAAGAGAUAUACACAAUCAGGCAACUUGGUCCGACAUAAAAGAACACACAGUGGGGACAAACCUUAUCAAUGUGAUGUUUGUAAGAAGAGAUUUGCGCGGUCAAGUUAUUUAGCCAUACAUAAAAGAACACAUACUGGCGAUAAACCUUAUGAAUGUGAUGUUUGUAAGAAGAGAUUUGCACAGUCAAAAGAUUUUGGCGUACAUAAAAGAACACACACUGGAUACAGACCUUAUGAAUGUGAUGUUUGUAAGAAAAGAUUUACGCAGUAUGGCAACUUGGCGAACCAUAGAAGAACGCACACAGGCGAGAAACCUUUUGAAUGUGAUAUUUGCAAUCUUAGAUUUGCACAAUCAGGAACUUUAGCAAUACACAAAAGAACUCACACCAGAGACAAACCUUAUAAAUGCGAUGUUUGUAAGAAGAGAUUAAGAAACCCAAACAGCUUGGUGAAUCACAAAAGAAUGCACGCUGGAGACAAACCUUAUGAAUGUGAAGUUUGUAAAAAGAGAUUUACACAGUCUGGUACCUUGAUACGACAUAGAAGAAGACACACUGAAGAAGUGCCUUACGAAUGUGACGUUUGCAAGGAAAGAUUUGCAAGAAAAUCCUCUCUUACCCACCACAAAAAGCAACAUUUGUUUUGCAACACUUGCAGCAGAGAGAUUGUUCAACCGCAAGAUUUGAAUGAACAUUUUUUCGUGUUUGAACACGAUGGAAAAUGUAGCUGCAGUAAAUGUGACAAACGAUGUAUUAAUUUCAUGAAAUUGGUACAACAUAUUGCAAGGCAACAUGGUGAUGAUGGAAACUAUCAAUGUGGUUUAUGUCAAGAACUUGAAUCAACAGAACCAACUGGUGUUGAAUACGUUUGUUCCGUGUGUGGUGUUAUGUUUGUUGUUCCCAGAGAACUUGAAGAUCACAUGGCCACUCAUGACUAAAUUAAGUGAAUUUCUACUAUUUUUGCAUUUUAAAGAGUAUUGUGUUGCUGUUAGGUUACUACUAUAGCUUUACUUUUUAACAUAAAAUGUUUGUCCGGACAUGUCAGGGG